rnacentral:SRP_RNA from 1 species
AAAGUCUAGCUGGGGCGUUAGCAGCGUCUUGUAACUGGUAGCUAUAGCCGGAGCGAUAUCCUUCUGAGGCCUUGUGGCGGCAGGAGCUGCCCUUGGCAAGUGGCGUUGAGACUUGGGUCCCGUGCAUCGGAUGCUUACGAAUCGUGUCAGGUCAGGAAUGGAGCAGCACUAAGUUUGAUUAUCUGAGUGACAUGGGGUAGCCUGGGUUGAGUUAACUACCAAGGUAACGUCUUUCUUCCCAAGGUCGAAGUUGGAUAGUUU